GACGAACGCUGGCGGCGUGCUUAACACAUGCAAGUCGAACGGCAAGGCCCUUCGGGGUACACGAGUGGCGAACGGGUGAGUAACACGUGGGUGAUCUGCCCUGCACUUCGGGAUAAGCCUGGGAAGCUGGGUCUAAUACCGGAUAGGACCACUGCCUGCAUGGGUGGUGGGGGAAAGCUUUUGCGGUGUGGGAUGGGCCCGCGGCCUAUCAGCUUGUUGGUGGGGUGAUGGCCUACCAAGGCGACGACGGGUAGCCGGCCUGAGAGGGUGACCGGCCACACUGGGACUGAGAUACGGCCCAGACUCCUACGGGAGGCAGCAGUGGGGAAUAUUGCACAAUGGGCGCAAGCCUGAUGCAGCGACGCCGCGUGAGGGAUGACGGCCUUCGGGUUGUAAACCUCUUUCAGCACCGACGAAGCGCAAGUGACGGUAGGUGCAGAAGAAGGACCGGCCAACUACGUGCCAGCCGCCGCGGUAA
rnacentral:rRNA from 1 species